GGGGACGUAUGGGUUCGACAGGGAAGGUAUGCUGCCGGAUUGCAAGCUGAGGUGCCGCUACCCUCAUAAAACAAGUGGCAAAAAAUAACU
rnacentral:tmRNA from 1 species